GACUUUUGGAUGCGGAAAGCACACAGAUCGUCCGUGUACUUUCUGUAUCUGUAUCUAAAAUAGAACAUGUCUGCAAAAUACAACGGGUCUGCAAAUAAAAUGCGGAUCCGUGUUUUGCGGAUCUGUGAAAAUA